rnacentral:rRNA from 1 species
GACGAACGCUGGCGGCGUGCCUAAUACAUGCAAGUAGAACGCUGAAGGAGGAGCUUGCUUCUCUGGAUGAGUUGCGAACGGGUGAGUAACGCGUAGGUAACCUGCCUGGUAGCGGGGGAUAACUAUUGGAAACGAUAGCUAAUACCGCAUAAUAGUAGAUGUUGCAUGACAUUUGCUUAAAAGGUGCAAUUGCAUCACUACCAGAUGGACCUGCGUUGUAUUAGCUAGUUGGUGGGGUAACGGCUCACCAAGGCGACGAUACAUAGCCGACCUGAGAGGGUGAUUGGCCACACUGGGACUGAGACACGGCCCAGACUCCUACGGGAGGCAGCAGUAGGGAAUCUUCGGCAAUGGACGGAAGUCUGACCGAGCAACGCCGCGUGAGUGAAGAAGGUUUUCGGAUCGUAAAGCUCUGUUGUAAGAGAAGAACGAGUGUGAGAGUGGAAAGUUCACACUGUGACGGUAUCUUACCAGAAAGGGACGGCUAACUACGUG